AUACGGAGGAUCCAAGCGUUAUCCGGAAUCAUUGGGUUUAAAGGGUCCGUAGGUGGAUAAUUAAGUCAGAGGUGAAAUCCUGCAGCUCAACUGUAGAAUUGCCUUUGAAACUGGUUAUCUUGAGUCAUUAUGAAGUGGUUAGAAUGUGUAGUGUAGCGGUGAAAUGCAUAGAUAUUACACAGAAUACCGAUUGCGAAGGCAGAUCACUAAUAGUGUACUGACACUGAUGGACGAAAGCGUGGGUAGCGAACAGGAUUAGAAACCCUAGUAGUCC
rnacentral:rRNA from 1 species